AUUGAACGCUGGCGGCAUGCUUUACACAUGCAAGUCGAACGGUAACAGGCCGCAAGGUGCUGACGAGUGGCGAACGGGUGAGUAAUGCAUCGGAACGUGCCCAGUCGUGGGGGGAUAACGCAGCGAAAGCUGCGCUAAUACCGCAUACGAUCUAAGGAUGAAAGCGGGGGACCGAAAGGCCUCGCGCGAUUGGAGCGGCCGAUGUCAGAUUAGGUAGUUGGUGGGGUAAAGGCUCACCAAGCCAACGAUCUGUAGCUGGUCUGAGAGGACGACCAGCCACACUGGAACUGAGACACGGCCCAGACUCCUACGGGAGGCAGCAGUGGGGAAUUUUAGACAAUGGGGGAAACCCUGAUCCAGCCAUGCCGCGUGCGGGAAGAAGGCC
rnacentral:rRNA from 1 species